UUUUUUUUUUUUUUUUGUAAAAUUAUGCAUGUUUAUAAAUUAAAAAAAUAUUAAUAAAAAUAAAAAUAAAAUAAAAAACAUUUCAUUAAAUUAAAAAAAAUACAUUCAAACUAGAAAAAUAAAAAUCACAUUCAUACUAGAAAAUAAAUUUUGAGGAGGAACUUGUGGGGCACGAAAAGCAUAUGGGUCGAAGGCGGGGGAUUGAGGAGGAGCGUCCAUUGAUAACAAAUUUUGAAGAUAGCCGAAAUUGGGUUGUUGGGUGUUGUAAAACGAGGGGUGUGAAGGUUGUUGGAAAAAAAAGGGGGUUGUGAAGUGUAUCCGAAAGGGGGUUGUGGUUGAGCACUUGCACCGCUCGAACCACCACGAGACGGUUGCGAGCCCCGUCCUUUAGUUUUUUUCUUGGCCUCGCGGGGUUGGUUCUCCAUUGCUCGGUGUGAAGGGGGUGUGGUUUGAGAGUAUAAAAAAUAAAGUGAAGUGGGUGUGGUUGGAGAGUAUAAAAAAUGUGUGAGGUUGAUAUGGUUUGAGUAUAAAAAAAUGGAGUGAAUGGGAUGGUUAUUUAUAUAUGUUUUAAAAAGGUGAUUUUUUUUUUAAAAAAUCCGACCGUUGCACAUGUAGCCGUUCUUCAAUUCUCGUGCAAAACCAGCGGUGAGUCCACACCGAUCUCACCCCCCGAUUCGGGUCCCCGCGUUGAUGGCGGCGGUGUUCCCGAUCGGGGACAAGGCUCACCGAAUGCUCUCCCCGCGAACGCCCCGUACACCCUUAAGACGUUUUUUUAAUCAAACGGUGUAAAAUGACAAUUAUACCCUCAUGUGUUUUGCACAUGAUCUGAUUUAACAGAAAAAAUUAACUCAGUUAGGGUUAAAGGACAUAACGCGUAUGAUUUUGAAACAUUAAGUAUAAAAUUCGUCAAUUUUAAACAUAAAGGACACCGCCUAUAAAAGGAUCUAUUAUGUAUAUUAAAACAAUACAUUUUGGUGCCACUUGGCAUCUUCUUAAACCACUUAUUGCCACCUGUCCUCCUAUUAACCCUUAUUGAAAGAAUUUGAGCGAGAUAGUACCACGCCAUUCGUCCGCUCUUUUUGCUCACACGAAAUUGAUCAGAGAGAGAGAGAUUGAUAGGUUUCCAUUUUGGUUAAACCCUUCCUUUUCAAUCUGUGCGAAGACAAUGGAUCAAGCAUUCAAGAUCACGUGGUUCUGCGGCGGCGGCGGCGCCAUCACGGUGAUACUGCUCUGGUGUGUGUUUCAUCCACCGUCGGUAACCUGUAGACGGUGAACACGGUUGUUGUGAUGGUGGUUUAUGGUCUCUGGUCCUCGGUGUUAGCAACGACGGCUAGGGUUUUUAAGCGAGAUAUGAACGACGUUUGUUCCGGUUAGGGUUCCGACGAUCGACAACUUGUGGGUUGCUGAGAUGACAGAGAUGGUGGUUGGAGCUAUAUCAGGUAGGGUUUCCGGCAAAGAAGGAAACGCAGCGGUUACUCAGCGAACCAGGUGAAGUUGUUUUUCUUUUUGUAAUUUUUUUGUGUGUAUGUUUAUUUGAAGCGGGUGAAUUUUUGUGAUCAAGCGGGUCCGAUUUUGUGAUCAUAUUUAACUCAUUUUCUAUUUAUGAAGUUUCUUAAAAGGUUUGGCCUUUAAUAAGACAUGACCCGUGUCAACUUGAACUGACUCUAGGCUUAGACCAUAUCGACGACACUUGAUCAAUGGUGAAUAUGAGCUGGCAAAUAAAGAGAAACUAAGACUUGAGCAGUUACAAAGACAGGCGAGGAGUGAGGUCUAGCAUGCAACAACACAUGAUCUAGCAACUACUUCAAGAUAUGAGUAAUGGUGGCGGUGGGCAGAAUCCUUCGGUUUCUGGGCAGAGUCCUGCUAACAGGAAUAUGGGUCAGGAUGGUUUGAGACACGGGAUUUCAAAGGCUCACUUUGCACGCUUAGAGGAAAUGUUAACUGGAUGAAGGCACGGGGCUCUUUUCAAAUGCAAAGAGUUUGGUCUCUCAAAGAAUGAAGUGAUGAAACAUCAUCCUAUCAUAGAUGCCAGCUCAUCAAAUUCAGAGAUGAAGAAAAGCAUAUGCGAACACUUGUGAAAGAAGAUUUUGGUCAACCUGACAGAGUAAAUACCAUGAGGAUGAAGUGAGAGGAACUACCAACCAGGAUGCUUGGUUUAAAAAAGUGUUUGCAGCCCUGCGUACAACCUUCUUUUAAAAUCUAUUUGCAAUGGAGGAAAGAUGAUAAUAUCUACCUUCAGGUAAGGCGGGUUUGAUAGUUUUAGCCUUGGCUUUGGAAAGCGCGCCUUGGCGCAAGGCAACCCCAGGCACAACCACUAUCGCUUUUGUGCAAGUAAGGGGGUAUUGACAACCUAUCAAAGCCAAAGACAAAGCACACAUGAAUCGGUUGAAAAGAAGGUGAAAGUCGGUUAUAAGUGGGAUUGAAAGUUAUGUAUAUAUAUGAAAGUUAUGUGUGUAUAUAUAUUAGUCUGUCCUACCAUUAAUUUUAAUGAUCCGAUAACAAUGCGUUUUAAAUGUUUGAAUACUUGUGACUUGCAUUCUCUUUACCAACAGCCUUUGAUGCAAAAUCCAUCUGACCUGUUUGCA